AGAGUUUGAUCCUGGCUCAGGAUGAACGCUAGCUACAGGCUUAACACAUGCAAGUCGAGGGGCAUCAGGAAGAAAGCUUGCUUUCUUUGCUGGCGACCGGCGCACGGGUGAGUAACACGUAUCCAACCUGCCCUUUACUCGGGGAUAGCCUUUCGAAAGAAAGAUUAAUACCCGAUGGCAUAAUGAUUCCGCAUGGUUUCAUUAUUAAAGGAUUCCGGUAAAGGAUGGGGAUGCGUUCCAUUAGGUUGUUGGUGAGGUAACGGCCCACCAAGCCUUCGAUGGAUAGGGGUUCUGAGAGGAAGGUCCCCCACAUUGGAACUGAGACACGGUCCAAACUCCUACGGGAGGCAGCAGUGAGGAAUAUUGGUCAAUGGGCGCUAGCCUGAACCAGCCAAGUAGCGUGAAGGAUGAAGGCUCUAUGGGUCGUAAACUUCUUUUAUAUAAGAAUAAAGUGCAGUAUGUAUACUGUUUUGUAUGUAUUAUAUGAAUAAGGAUCGGCUAACUCCGUGCCAGCAGCCGCGGUAAUACGGAGGAUCCGAGCGUUAUCCGGAUUUAUUGGGUUUAAAGGGAGCGUAGGUGGACUGGUAAGUCAGUUGUGAAAGUUUGCGGCUCAACCGUAAAAUUGCAGUUGAUACUGUCAGUCUUGAGUACAGUAGAGGUGGGCGGAAUUCGUGGUGUAGCGGUGAAAUGCUUAGAUAUCACGAAGAACUCCGAUUGCGAAGGCAGCUCACUGGACUGCAACUGACACUGAUGCUCGAAAGUGUGGGUAUCAAACAGGAUUAGAUACCCUGGUAGUCCACACAGUAAACGAUGAAUACUCGCUGUUUGCGAUAUACAGUAAGCGGCCAAGCGAAAGCAUUAAGUAUUCCACCUGGGGAGUACGCCGGCAACGGUGAAACUCAAAGGAAUUGACGGGGGCCCGCACAAGCGGAGGAACAUGUGGUUUAAUUCGAUGAUACGCGAGGAACCUUACCCGGGCUUAAAUUGCAGUGGAAUGAUGUGGAAACAUGUCAGUGAGCAAUCACCGCUGUGAAGGUGCUGCAUGGUUGUCGUCAGCUCGUGCCGUGAGGUGUCGGCUUAAGUGCCAUAACGAGCGCAACCCUUAUCUUUAGUUACUAACAGGUCAUGCUGAGGACUCUGGAGAGACUGCCGUCGUAAGAUGUGAGGAAGGUGGGGAUGACGUCAAAUCAGCACGGCCCUUACGUCCGGGGCUACACACGUGUUACAAUGGGGGGUACAGAAGGCAGCUAGCGGGUGACCGUAUGCUAAUCCCAAAAGCCUCUCUCAGUUCGGAUCGAAGUCUGCAACCCGACUUCGUGAAGCUGGAUUCGCUAGUAAUCGCGCAUCAGCCACGGCGCGGUGAAUACGUUCCCGGGCCUUGUACACACCGCCCGUCAAGCCAUGGGAGCCGGGGGUACCUGAAGUACGUAACCGCAAGGAUCGUCCUAGGGUAAAACUGGUGACUGGGGCUAAGUCGUAACAAGGUAGCC
rnacentral:rRNA from 1 species